UUUUGUCUAACACUGACUGCAUGUGGAAACUGACUGGGGAAACUGACGGUGGAAAGUCUAUUAUUUGUUUGAUCAGCAUUAACAAGCACCUUGGGGAAACCUCUUAUUUAUGGUUAUGCAUGUGGCAGUGCAAACACUGCAGUUUGGAACUAGCUAGCAGAUUAAAAGGUGUUCCAUAACGGCAGGUCGGGCGCUUCUGCGCAUCAUCUUUGCCGACCAGUCUGACUAGAAAACUGACCCUGGAUUCGGGAAUCCCAGCAACAGUUGAAGAACUGCACACAUUUGUCAAGACAUCUCUUCAAUUGAAAGAGGACUUCCGUCUGCAAUACAUGGAUGUUGACUUUAACGAGUUCAUGAAUCUUACAUCAGUGUCUGAAAUUCAGGAUAAAAGCACACUGAAAGUAAUUUACUCUCCUAUAUUGUCAAAUAUUGAGCCCUCCAUCACUUAGUACACAGUUGACUCAUUUGAUAAGACCUCAAUUACUGGAAGCUCAGAGUCUCUAAUCCCUGCAUCAUCAAUAGCCUCAUGCUGCAGUGAUGAUAUGGUGUAUACGUCAACCCCGCAUCCAUCCCCUGAAGCUCAGGCCUCACAAUUGUUAUCCUGGCCCACAGUUUUUGUGGUUCCUAAGCUCACCUACGAGGCUGAAUUUGAGCUUCAUCUACAGAAUGCAGAGUUUGAGACAACUGGUACAUACUUCCAGCCUGGCCUAAAGCUGAAAGGAGUCAUUCUUGAUGGCCUAGCCCAAGAAAUGAUCAAAUUCACAAAAUAUCCAAAAGACUAUCAGUGUGAAGAGGUAGCUGCAGCGUUGACGAGGGCCCACCCUUGUU